UACGUAGGGUGCGAGCGUUAAUCGGAAUUACUGGGCGUAAAGCGUGCGCAGGCGGUUUUGUAAGCCAGAUGUGAAAUCCCCGGGCUUAACCUGGGAAUGGCAUUUGGGACUGCAAGGCUAGAGUGUGGCAGAGGAGACUGGAAUUCCUGGUGUAGCAGUGAAAUGCGUAGAUAUGCGGAGGAACACCGAUGGCGAAGGCAAUCCCCUGGACCUGUACUGACGCUCAUGCACGAAAGCGUGGGGAGCAAACAGG
rnacentral:rRNA from 1 species